rnacentral:lncRNA from 1 species
AAAAUGGAAACUACUAGUACUUGCCUUGUCUACUAUUGGAACCAAAAAAUUGCCUUCUACUAGUACUUGCCAUUUUCUUCUACAAACUAGUAGAACAGAGAAUUGUCUCCUACUGGUGCUUGCAUUGCUUUCUAUAAACUACUAGUUGUUCUUGUCUGCCACUUGUAACCCAAAGAAUCAAUUUUCCUCUCUUAAACAACCAAAAUCGAGAGGAACCAAGGAGGGAAAAAAGCUACUAGUCAAACAAACUCUUAACCGCCACUACCUCUUUCAUCUAUCAACUAACCAAUUAGAUUCUCUUAUGCUUCAUUCCAGUCGGCACACAUCCAUAAAUUUUGCAUAAAACACAAAUUAGUUUCUAUCAACUAGGAAGAGAGAAAGUGAGCUGGGAGAGUCUUGAGAAAGAGAGGAACAUUCCCUUGCUUGGUUCGCUGAGAGGAAGCUCCAAUUCAACCUAAAAUCUUCUCCAAAAUCCCUCCUAAAAUAUAAAGUCACAACCAAGAGAAAGGGAGAUUGAAAGCUGGAAAAACAACCUGCAAGAAAUUGUCCAUUGUUCCAGCUUGAAGGCUGAGAGGAAUAGGGAGGUUUAGCUGCAUUCUUUUUCAGUUUUCUUGCUCAAUCAAGGGUAAAACUCCUCCAAAACUUCAUUUCUUUCACAUACAAGAGGAUUAACCUUUGCAUCUUAUUUUUAAGUAGUGAAAAUGGUAGUCCUUGGAGAUUAAAGUGAAGCUCUCCUUGAUUGAAUGAUGAACUGUUUGUUUGCUAUGUUGUUGGUAUAUAUGGACUUUUGAUUUCCAAUUUUGGAUAAAUAUACUUGAACUCAUGAAAUAUGUUUAGUAUACUCAUUAUUCGGUAUCGCAUGUGAAUUUUAUGGUGAAAAAAUUUGAAUUUUAUGGCUGGAAUUUUGGUUGGAAGUUGCAUGACUGUCAUACCAUGUUCCAGCUUAGCCGAUGGAAAUUUCUUGGAGUUUGAAUGGAUAUUUUGGUAUAAAAUUGGCUGGGAAAUGCUUUAUUGGUACUUAUUUGUGUGUUAUGAGUUUGUUGGUGUGUGAUUUGUGGCUAGAAAUAAAAUUUAAAAUAGUUAAAAAUUGGAGGGAAAAGCUGUUGUACCAACUAUAGGAACCGAGGGGGCCUUGUAGCUUAUUUGAGUGAAUCUUCAAUAAUUAUCAAGUUCAAUUGGUUUUAUAUGAAUUACAUACACACCUUAAUGUAGUAAUCUAGUCAUGCAUGUGGUUUUUGACCAAUAAAAAAAUGGAAUUAUGGGACAAGAAAGUACACUAAAAUUAGCUACUUUUGAACUUGAAUGAUUAGAAAAGGGGAAUGGGAGUUAAAUUGACCCCUCAUCUAAAUAGAACCAAUUAAAGAAAAUUAAAUGUUUAGAUUUUAGGUAUCUAAAACUAGAGAUGUAUGAAUUAGUUAGACCCUUUUGAGCUGAUUGGAAUGAUUGAGGAUUUCAAACUAAUUUCUAAACUUUCUCUGGAAAUUUUGGCCAAACUUUGAACUAAGAACAACCGAUUAGAUAUAAUGGUAAAAUGCAGGUUGUAUAGAAUGUAUGUUGAGUGUAUAGUGUUUUAAGCAAGAAAAGAUGAAAUUUUGUUAAAAUUUUGAGGUAAUCUUGCUAGAAAACUAUUUUGUUGGCCGAGAGAGUGAGGAGAUGAAGCUCUUAUGUUAUUUUCGAAAAUUCUAGGAUAAUUGGUUAUAAAUUUUGUAUAAAACAUCUUAUAACACUUUGACCCUGCUUAUACCUGAUUAUUUAGUAAUUUUGAGAUUUGAGAAACUAGUGAAUUAUGAGAAAAGUUAAACUUCAACCUAAUUGAAAGCGGGUUUGGCUGAGAAAAAAAAAUGGUGAAUGAGUGAUGAUGAAUAAAAGUUCUAUCAGCUAUAACUUUAAAAGUUUGGAUAGAGAAUGACACAAACUUAGCUCAAACACCUUAUGAGACCUUAAAUUUGAUAUGUAUGUAUAUUUUCCAUUAUUUUUAGCUAAUAACCUUGAUAAAUCUCGAAGAAACAUGUAAGAAGCACUGUUUGGAAUUUUGCUUCUUACAUGUUUCUUCGAGAUUUAUCAAGGUUAUUAGCUAAAAAUAAUGGAAAAUAUACAUACAUAUCAAAUAAGCAUUGUUGGAAUUUUGUAUCUUGUUUUAUAAGUUAAGAAACUAAGUUUCUAGCCCUCAGGGGCUUGGUCUGGUGGUUGAGGUUGCUGAAGAUGGAGCUUCAGGUCCCUGGUUCGAACCUUACUGCCAGCAAGUUGCUGAGGGUGGUGAAUAGUCUGCGGGGUCCACUCCCUGCGGGACACACCUAAAAAAAAAAAGAAAAAAAAAGAAACUAAGUUUCUAGUAAAUUAAAUCUUAAUUUGAUGAAUGAUAGUGGUCAUACAUGAAUUGUAUUUUCACUUUAGGAUUAUCAAUUUGUCUCAGGGGACACCAGUGAGACAGGAAACAACUCCGAGACUCAAGUAUAAAUUAUGUUGACUAGGGUGAGUGUUCUUAAGUUGCUUGUGCAUGAUUAUUUGAUGGUAUUGCUUACUUUUGAAAUUUUAUUGAUAAAAGGGCUAAAGCGUAUUUAAUCGCUUCUGCCUUAAUAAUUUGAAAUGGAUAUCAUGGUGAAUGAAGAUUGGAUUGUGCAUGAAUGAUUGUAGGCCGUAGUGUACUUUAUCACUUCGGCCGAAUUGGGCCCUAAGCCUUGACAAGCUGAUCUAGUCGAGCCAGUAAAGAACUUGGUCGAUUAGGUUGGCUACCUUGAGCAAUUGAAUGUUAUACUCGAGUAUUAUCUGAAAGAAUGGAGAUUAAUGAACUGCUUAUUGAAUGUCGGGCAUUGUUUAUUGUUUUGGAGGUUAUAAAGGGAAAGAAUGGUGGAGUGAGAAGAAGUUGUAUCCUUUUAAAUGAAUGUUUACCCGAUUGAAUUGUUCUCCUGAUUGGUUAUGUUGAAGGAAUGUCUUAUAUUGUUAUUUGGUUUUACACUUUUGAACCUCACUGAGCUUUUGUUCAAACUUUUAGUUUUAUUUUCCUUACAGGAGUUAAAGUUUGAAGAAUGAACAAGUUGGGUUAGAAUGUUUUGGAAGGUCCAUUAUUGUAUAUAUAUCUCUGUUAAUAUUUACUUUUGUAUUUUGUAAUGGACAAAGCUUUUAUCUUACUAGUUGGAGAAGUAUUAAGAAUGAAUGUUUUGGAUGUUUACUGAGAAAUGUUAUUUC